CCUACGGGGGGCUGCAGUAGGGAAUCUUCCGCAAUAGACGAAAGUCUGACGGAGCAACGCCGCGUGAGCGAAGAAGGUCUUCGGAUCGUAAAGCUCUGUUUUUAGGGAAGAACAAGUACGGGAGGAAAUGACCGUACCUUGACGGUACCUAACGAGGAAGCCACGGCUAACUACGUGACAGCAGCCGCGGUAAUACGUAGGUGGCAAGCGUUGUCCGGCAUUAUUGGGCGUAAAGCGCGCGCAGGCGGUGUUUUAAGUCUGAUGUGAAAUCUUGAGGCACAACCGCAAGCGGUCAUUGGAAACUGGGAGAAUUGAGUGCGGAUGAGGAAAGCGCAAUUCCAAGGGAUACGGUGAAAUGCGUCGAGAUGUGGAGGUACACCAGUGGCGAAGGCGGCUUGCUGGUCUGUAACUGACGCUGAGGCGCGAAAGCGUGGGGAGCAAACAGGAUUAGAUACCCUGGUAGUC
rnacentral:rRNA from 1 species